GGGAGGGAGGGAGGGAGAGAGAGAGAGAGAGAGAGAGAGAGAGAGAUUUUUUAAUAUUUAUUUUUUAGUUUUCGGCGGACACAACAUCUUUGUUUGUAUGUGGUGCUGAGGAUCGAACCCGGGCCGCACACAUGCCAGGCAAGCGCGCUACCGCUUGAGCCACAUCCCCAGCCCCUUGAGCCACAUCCCCAGCCCAAAAUUCAUAUUUUUAUAAGAACAGCCAGUCAGUACAGCAAUCUCUCCCCCUUCUCUCUCUCUCUCUCUCUCUCUCUCUCUCUCUCUCUCUCUCUCUCUCU
rnacentral:miRNA from 1 species